CCUACGGGGCGCAGCAGUGAGGAAUAUUGGUCAAUGGGCGCGAGCCUGAACCAGCCAAGUAGCGUGAAGGAUGACUGCCCUACGGGUUGUAAACUUCUUUUAUAAAGGAAUAAAACGAGGCACGUGUGCCUUUUUGCAUGUACUUUAUGAAUAAGGAUCGGCUAACUCCGUGCCAGCAGCCGCGGUAAUACGGAGGAUCCGAGCGUUAUCCGGAUUUAUUGGGUUUAAAGGGAGCGUAGAUGGGUUGUUAAGUCAGUUGUGAAAGUUUGCGGCUCAACCGUAAAAAUGCAAUUGAUACUGGGAGACUUGAGUGCAGGUGAGGUAGGCGGAAUUCGUGGUGUAGCGGUGAAAUGCUUAGAUAUCACGAAGAACCCCGAUGGCGAAGGCAGCUUACUAAACUGUGACUGACAUUGAUGCUCGAAAGUGUGGGUAGCAAACAGGAUUAGAUACCCGUGUAGUC
rnacentral:rRNA from 1 species